GAGUUUGAUCCUGGCUCAGAUUGAACGCUGGCGGCAUGCCUUACACAUGCAAGUCGAACGGCAGCACGGGAGCUUGCUCCUGGUGGCGAGUGGCGAACGGGUGAGUAAUGCAUCGGAACGUAUCCUGGAGUGGGGGAUAACGUAGCGAAAGUUACGCUAAUACCGCAUAUUCUGUGAGCAGGAAAGCGGGGGACCUUCGGGCCUCGCGCUCUUGGAGCGGCCGAUGUCGGAUUAGCUAGUUGGUGAGGUAAAGGCUCACCGAGGCGACGAUCCGUAGCAGGUCUGAGAGGAUGAUCUGCCACACUGGAACUGAGACACGGUCCAGACUCCUACGGGAGGCAGCAGUGGGAAUUUUGGACAAUGGGGGCAACCCUGAUCCAGCCAUGCCGCGUGAGUGAAGAAGGCC
rnacentral:rRNA from 1 species